rnacentral:rRNA from 1 species
UACGUAGGGUGCGAGCGUUGUCCGGAAUUACUGGGCGUAAAGAGCUCGUAGGUGGUUUGUCACGUCGUCUGUGAAAUUCCGGGGCUUAACCUCGGGCGUGCAUGCGAUACGGGCAAUACUUGAGUGCUGUAGGGGAGACUGGAAUUCCUGGUGUAGCGGUGAAAUGCGCAGAUAUCAGGAGGAACACCAAUGGCGAAGGCAGGUCUCUGGGCAGUUACUGACGCUGAGGAGCGAAAGCAUGGGUAGCGAACAGGAUUA